rnacentral:rRNA from 1 species
UUUAAAGUCUAACCUGCCCAAUGAGGAGUUAAAUGGCCGCGGUAACCUGACCGUGCAAAGGUAGCAUAAUCAUUAGUUUUUUAAUUGAAAGCUGGUAUGAACGGUUGGACGAGAGAAUAACUGUCUCAAUUUAAUUGUUUGUAGAAUUUUAUCUAUAAGUAAAAAAGCUUAUAUAAUUUUAAAAGACGAGAAGACCCUAUAGAGUUUUAUAUUUUUUAUUAUAGGAGGUGAUAAGGAUUUUUGUGCUUUUUUUAUAAUAAAAAAUAUUUUGCUGGGGCAGCAGAAAAAUUAAUUAAACUUUUUUUACUCAAAAACAUUGAUUUAUGGGUAAGUGAUCCAUUAUUUAUGAUUAUAAGAUUAAAUUACCUUAGGGAUAACAGCGUAAUUUUUUUUUAGAGUUCUUAUCGAAAAAAGAGUUUGCGACCUCGAUGUUGGAUUAAAAUUAACUUUUGGUGUAGGGGCUAAAAGGUUAGGUCUGUUCGACCUUUAAAAUUUUACAUGAUCUGAGUUUAAACCGGCGUGAGCCAGGUUGGUUUCUAUCUUUAAAAAAAUUAGAUAUCUUAGUACGAAAGGAUUAGAUAUUUUUAAAAUUUAGUAUAUUUUGAAUAGGAUUAA